UUCGAGUCCGAAUGAAAGUCCUUGUCAAAGUCAGCUAACUAUGGAAUUCCCUUAGCCUGAAAUGUGAGGAAAUGAGGGUGGUGAGAUUAUAAAAUCCCAGUGAGUAAACAGAUACCAUCUAAACUAUCCAAAGUCGAGUAAAUGGAGACAAUUAAAAUAAAUCAUCAUACUGUAAUUUCAUUACCUUUCAACUCAUUUCAACCAAAUAAAAUCAAUCCAUAAAAAUCGAGAAAUCAACUUGGCUUAUGAAUUUCUUAAAACUUUGGCUCGUGCCAAAACUCAUACUCGAUGAUACCUUGCGCAGGGCAUCUAACCGAGUCUGCCAAGGCUGUUAAAAUCUUGUAUACACUUAAAAUAUAUUUUAGUUUGAGAAAAUACAGCCGUUCCUUGGCGUUGGAUGAGUUCCCCUUCACGUGGUGGUUUGGCGUGAAGUGAACCCUAAGCUAUACCCCAGGAGAUACCCUACGCGCCUCUCCGUUCGAGAUAAUAAUAUAAUGGAGUUUACCGUGCCCCUUUAAUAGGCUGGUCCACGGAACCCCCUCUGCAGUAAAUAAUUAAUAUAUAAUCCACCAAUCAAUAAAAUUCAUUCUAGCAUGACAUGGCAAUUUAGUGCAACCUAGCCUCUCAAGGCUGAAUACACAGUAUAAAUAAUUCUAACACCAAAAUCAGUUUAGCCAUUCAUGCUCAUUUAUU
rnacentral:lncRNA from 1 species